rnacentral:tRNA from 2 species
CAAAUUAGAGCUUUAAAGUAUUUCAUUUACAUUGAAAAGAUUAUUAAAUUUAUUUAAUUAAUUUGA